rnacentral:tRNA from 1 species
AAGGCUUUAAGUUAAAAUAAACUAUCAUCCUUCAAAGUUGACAAUAAAAUAUAUUUUUAAGCUUUA